rnacentral:lncRNA from 10 species
AUAAGGGUUGGACCUUUUUGAGGCAGCUACCAGAAGGGAGCACCAAGCAGAUGCAGCUCCCCUUCCCUCCCAUUCCACCAUCCACUGUCCCCAGCAAGAACCUGCGGGAGGGUGGCCCAAUGGGGAGGCCAGACCCUCCUAGACCAGCUGGAACCACCAUCAAGAUGUCCCCAGCCAUGUCAGACUCUGGGGCCCCAGGCGGAGGGCAACCAGAUGUCUUCAGCUCCAAGUCUGGCCUCUCCUCCCAGCAAGCAGCCAACUGCAGAGACCUUGGAAAGGAUCAACCAUAUACAAUGUCCAUUUCCUGCCCUCUAACCUGGCAGGGGAGCAAGGCCCAGCCAAGGAGUUACAGAAACUGAGGCUUGGCCAGGCGUGGUGGCUCACACCUGCAAUCUCAGCACUGGGAGGCCAAGGUGGGCAGAUCGCUUGAGCCCAGGAGUUUGAGACCAGCCCGAGGAACAUGGCGAAACCCCAUCUCUACA